UGGGAUGUGGCUCAGCGGUAGAGCGCUUGCCUCCCAUGUGAGAGACCUUGGGUUUGAUCCUCAGCACCACAU
rnacentral:tRNA from 1 species